GGACUACACGGGUUUCUAAUCCUGUUUGAUCCCCACGCUUUCGCGCCUCAGCGUCAGUAUUAAGCCAGGUGACUGCCUUCGCCAUUGACGUUCCUUCCGAUCUCUACGCAUUUCACCGCUACACCGGAAAUUCCGUCACCCUCUCUUAUACUCUAGUCAUAUCGUUUGGCAUGCACUUCCCAGGUUAAGCCCGGGGCUUUCACAUCCCACUCAUAUCACCGCCUACGCGCCCUUUACGCCCAGUAAAUCCGAUUAACGCUCGCACCCUCUGUAUUACCGCGGCUGCUGGCAC
rnacentral:rRNA from 1 species